GUUGUUUUUGGAAGAGAAAAUUAUUUCGAAUUUAAGAAGAUGAAUAUUGCUAUUCUUUCAAGGUACUCAAGUAAAUGGAGAUUCAAAACAGAAUAUGUGAAUUAUAAAAGUGAAGGGAUCGUUGUCGCUGAAUUAGUAAAUUAUUUGAGGUUGAUUUCAUCAAUUGCCACAAAAUUAAACAUUGAUGAAGCUCGAAAAAUUAUUAAUGUACGUUAUGUUGUCGACGAUAAUGAUUUACCUUUUCAUAUCCGUAAUGAUAAUAACGUUUGGUUGUAUGCCGAGUUGAAGAAAACUCAACCAACGUUCGUGAUGUAUCCGUUGUGCAUUUCAACUACCGAUAAAUGUCAAGAAGACAUAGAGUUCGAUAGAGAAACAAGAGCUGUUGUUUGCCUGGAAGGUGUUGAAUCUGAUGCUAUGACUCUCGCUGUUGCGGAGACACAAAAUUAAUAUGCUUUGUAUGUCUCGAAGGUUGAAAUAGAUAACUUGAUAUGCGAUAGAAAGAGUAUUGAUGUGAAGGUGAAACAAAUGUAUAAGGAUAAAAAGACGCUCGUUUCAGUGAUAUCGAAUAUAUGGUGACUAAUGAAUUCAAUGUCAAGGUAAAACGAUCAGACAAAAAAGCUAUGUCCUCCGAUGUUACAAUGAGGAAUGUAAGUGGACGUUGGAAGCAUCUAGUUACAAAAAAAUAGAUAUUUUUAUAAUUCGGAGAUUUAAACCAGAAUAUACAUGCGCUUUGAGGGAUAAGGUACUGCAGAAUAUUUUGGCGACUACUUUUUUUGUCUGUGAAUUCACGGCUCCUAAAUUAGUUAACCAUAAGAGAAGGCACACACCCGGGGAAAUCAUCAAAGAAAUGAAAGAUGUAUAUAAUGUGGAUAUAAAUUAUAUGAAGGCAUGGCGUGCAAAGGAGCGUGCCAUAGUGAUGCUUAGGGACGGUCUUGCCGAUGGUUAUAGACAGAUGCCAAGAUACAUUUAUAUGUUAAAAAAUGUAUAUCCUAAUUCACACAUUGCAAUGCACAAGUCAUAGAAUAAUCAGUUCAUGUAUCUCUUUAUAGUGUUGCAUCCCAUGAUAAGAGAUUUUGAGUAUUGCAGACCUAUUAUUGUUGUUGAUGGUGCGCAUUUAAGUGGACCAUAUCAAGGGACUUUCCUCUCAGUAAGUACUCUUGAUGGUGCAGGUAUGUAAAAAGUUAACAUAUAAUGUUAUAUUUUUUUAACAUACAUUGUAUUUCAUAUAAAUAGCUAGUUAAGUGUUUGAAAAAACAGUUUUAACAAUUUUUUGUAUUUUUUCAAAAAAAAAAAAAUCUUUGUGUUUUUUUACUAAUAUGAUUUAUACGUAACGUAGGAUGCAUAUUACCGCUUGCGUAUGGGGUUGUGGAUAGUGGUAAUGACAAUUCAUGGACAUGGUUUUUCAAUCAGUUCAAAAUUGCAUUUGGUGAACGUGAAAAUAUGUGUGUUGUAUCUGAUAGGAUCGAAACUAUUAUCAAAGCUAUCAGUGUUGUAUACCCAAAUGUCCCACAUUUUGCAUGCAUUUGAUAUCUCUGAAAAAAUAUUUGUAGUUACUUUCGUAAGAGUAAAAAAAGUAUCAGUGAUUUGUAUUAUUCAAUGGUUAAAGCUUAUAGAAAAGAUGAUUUUGACUAUUUAAUGGCAAAGAAUGAAAAAGCUGACCUGAGAGUGAAAAAUAUUUACAAGAAGUUGGAUAUGAAAAGUAGAGUAGAUGUUAUUCACCAGUAAACAGAGGUCGGAUGAUGACCUCGAAUAUUGCUGAGUGUAUUAAUGAGUGUUUGGUAGAGGCUCGAGAAUUGCCAAUAUAUGAGUUUUUAGAAGAGGUUCGAAUGUUAUUCUUGGAACUGGAAGAACAGUGAAAUAGCUUCUUAUACAAGUAUGUCUUUGGGUCAUCGAUUUGAAGAAAUUUUAACUCUCAACGGUAUGGAAGCUUUGAAAAAUGAUGGUAUGUAUAAAAUUGUAAUUUUUUAAUUGUGCAUUUAUAUGUAGUAUUUGUUUGACUGAAAAGAAGUGUAUUUAAACUUAUUUUUCUAGAAAAAAAAUCUGUGGUUGUAUUUUGUUUUUAAUUGUUCAGGUGAAGACUUCUUCAACCUAUAUAUAUUCGGUUUAUGAAUCUGGGAGAAGAUACAUUGUUAACCUUGAAAGUGUCUCAUGCAACUGUGAGAGGAUCCAAAUAGAUCAAAUACUUUGUGAUUGCUAUAACUGUCUUAAAGUCUAAACAUGUAAAAGAUUUUGAACCAUACUAUUCAGAAUACUACAAGCGAAACACAUUGAUGAAGACAUAUGAAGUUCCAGUCAUUUCGAUGCCAGCUAAGAAAGACUGGGGUGUUCCCAAAAGUGUAGAUGAGGAAGAGUGUUGCCACCGAUAUACAAAAGACUUUCAAAAAGGCUGAAGAAAGGGCGGAAGAAGAAAUCCAGCGAAACAUUUUCGUCAAGCACAAACCGUUGUGAACGAUGCGGCCAUAAAGGGCACAAUAGGUGUUCAUGUAAUUUUUUCCCGAAGGAGAACUGAUUAAUUAUUUUGCUAUACUCCUGAAAAGUAAUCACUGAUUUUUUGUUAUCAUUUAUUUAGGAAUUACUUCACUGAUAUGUUUCAGUUUCUUAUUUUUGCGUCGAAAUAAAUUUUAGUUUAAUUUGA